UCUAGAAAUUGCCCAGAAUUAUCUCUUUCAAUUCAUUUCCCAAAAUAAAGAUGAAUAUGGCUUUUGAUGGUGAUAUAGUGGCAGUUGAGCUUUUGCCUCAAGAACAAUGGCACGAGGAAAAGUCUUUGGCAUUAGCUGAUGGAGCUUGCAGGAUUCACAUUGCACCGGCUUUGAAAAAUAUUAGUAUCACUUCACAAACUCCAUGAAGAAAACCUUCAAUGACCAUGAUGCUGCAUUGAGUUACACAAAGACACAACUUGGCAGCUUGUUUGGAAGGAGGAGUUUGAUGCUCCGAGGAAGGCAAUUAUAUUAGGCUACAACCCUACCCUAUUAGACCUUGGAUGUUUGUAGCUCACUGGUAUGUCAUUAUAACUAAUCUUUUUACUCUAAAAAUAGCCAUAUUUUAUAAUUUCUAUGGCUUUUUUUUAAUAACUUGAUUUUUACGUCAUUUCAAUUCUCGUGACUACUUUUAUGAUGGUUCAUCAUACGAUACCCCACAUACCCUUCAAAACUUCUGAUGAGAACAUUGUUGCGGAGUUUCAUUGUAUUUUUUGCAUUGUAAUAUUGAUGUACUACAUUUAAUUGUUUU